rnacentral:rRNA from 1 species
ACGGAAGGCAGCAGUGGGGAAUAUUGCACAAUGGGCGCAAGCCUGAUGCAGCGACGCCGCGUGAGUGAAGAAGUAUUUCGGUAUGUAAAGCUCUAUCAGCAGGGAAGAAAAUGACGGUACCUGACUAAGAAGCUCCGGCUAAAUACGUGCCAGCAGCCGCGGUAAUACGUAUGGAGCAAGCGUUAUCCGGAUUUACUGGGUGUAAAGGGAGCGUAGACGGGACAGCAAGUCUGAUGUGAAAUGCGGGGGCUCAACCCCUGAACUGCAUUGGAAACUGUUGACCUUGAGUGCCGGAGAGGUAAGCGGAAUUCCUAGUGUAGCGGUGAAAUGCGUAGAUAUUAGGAGGAACAUCAGUGGCGAAGGCGGCCUACUGGGCUUUUACUGACGCUCAUGCUCGAAAGCGUGGGGAGCAAACAGGAUUAGAUACCCUGGUA